GAGGUGACUGUGAUGAGUUGCACUAUUAGCCAGGCUGCUGUUUGCAGUGGCACAGCAGGCCUGACCUGACUCCUAUGUGUUGACAACCUAUUGUGCACAGGGGCCAUCUGAGUCACC
rnacentral:snoRNA from 1 species